rnacentral:lncRNA from 1 species
GGUUUUCAGGAAUCUUUCAAACCCCUCAUUGCUCAGUUACCUAAUUCCUCGUGUUGAUCCUUGCUUCUAGAGCCCACCGAAGGAGGUCUCUGGAUUUUCAGACUCUAUGUCCGAUCUCAUGAAGAACCUGGAGCAACUGAAUCUAGAUCUUGAAGAAGCUCUCAAUCAUGGCUCUUCUCCUUCUCAGACUACUUCUUUCAAGAGGCGAGAGCAGCAGUCUUCUGUUAAACUGGAUGCCGGUGAGAAUAGAGAUCCUCAGAGGAAGGGAAUUGGUAGAAAUAAGUGGGGAAGCUUCCAGAAGCUAGAUGACUGGCCAAACCCAAUGUCAGCUGGAGCACGCCCCAAAAUUAAAGGCCCAUCACGCAAACGGAGCAGAGAGCGAGCAGGUAAGCCAGAUGGGGCCGUAUAUUUCUUCUUAGGAGAGCUUAGUUUUGAGCAAUGAAUGCAUAAUUUACCCGUUGGGUAUCAGUGGAAAUUGGUAUUCUAGAUGCUAUCCUUGACCUUCAGUUGACAUGAAAGCCAACCUGCUCUUUAUGCUCUGUGGGCUUUCAAUAUAUGGGCGUUCUCAUUGGGGAAAGUGAGAAUUUCUUUUUCUUUGGGGGUUUGCUUUUUAAAAACUGGCUCAUUGAAUGUGAAUUUUUUCUAAAACUUGUCCACAGGAACCUGCUGUGUUAGUUCCUUUACUGUCAGGCUCAAGGUGCAGUUAUCAUUGGCCUGUUUGUUGAGGAGAGUUUGUUUUUAAUCUUCCGCUGUCACCUGUAGAAAGGUGUACUGUGGUCCCCAUCCGGUUUAUAAAUCCAAAUGACUGCCAGUGCAGAAGUUCAGUGGUUCUGCUGUCCUUUUGUAGAGGUGAUUGAACCUUCAGUUUCAUUUAUUCGGUUGCCACUGCUUGUGAGGAUCUUUCUGCUUAUUAGAGUGUCAGUUCCUUGCGGGCAGGGAAUGUGUUUUGUGGUUCUAUUGUAUUUCUCAAACACCUUACUAUAGUGUAUUUUCCUCAGUAAAUAUCUUUGCUGCUGCCAUUCCUCCUCUUCCUCCUCCUCCUCCUCCUCCUCCUCCUUCCAAACUGACCCUUCCACUUUUUCCAAAGAUUGCCUUAUCUUAAAAAAAACAGGUAAGCAAAACCUUUCGGCUCUCAAUGUUGCUGCUACCCAGGACCAUCAGACAAAGGUGCUUGUUUAACACAAAUAGCUGGAAUCCUGUUGUGAAAGCGGAUGUCUUCAUU